rnacentral:rRNA from 1 species
GACGAACGCUGGCGGCGUGCUUAACACAUGCAAGUCGAACGGAAAGGCCCUGCUUUUGUGGGGUGCUCGAGUGGCGAACGGGUGAGUAACACGUGAGUAACCUGCCCUUGACUUUGGGAUAACUUCAGGAAACUGGGGCUAAUACCGGAUAGGAGCUCCUGCUGCAUGGUGGGGGUUGGAAAGUUUCGGCGGUUGGGGAUGGACUCGCGGCUUAUCAGCUUGUUGGUGGGGUAGUGGCUUACCAAGGCUUUGACGGGUAGCCGGCCUGAGAGGGUGACCGGCCACAUUGGGACUGAGAUACGGCCCAGACUCCUACGGGAGGCGGCAGUGGGGAAUAUUGCACAAUGGGCGGAAGCCUGAUGCAGCAACGCCGCGUGCGGGAUGACGGCCCUCGGGUUGUAAACCGCUUUCGCCUGUGACGAAGCGUGAGUGACGGUAAUGGGUAAAGAAGCACCGGCUAACUACGUG